rnacentral:rRNA from 1 species
UUUGAUCAUGGCUCAGAUUGAACGCUGGCGGCAGGCCUAACACAUGCAAGUCGAGCGGAUGAUGGGAGCUUGCUCCCGGAUUCAGCGGCGGACGGGUGAGUAAUGCCUAGGAAUCUGCCUGGUAGUGGGGGACAACGUUUCGAAAGGAACGCUAAUACCGCAUACGUCCUACGGGAGAAAGCAGGGGGACCUUCGGGCCUUGCGCUAUCAGAUGAGCCUAGGUCGGAUUAGCUAGUUGGUGGGGUAAAGGCCUACCAAGGCGACGAUCCGUAACUGGUCUGAGAGGAUGAUCAGUCACACUGGAACUGAGACACGGUCCAGACUCCUACGGGAGGCAGCAGUGGGGAAUAUUGGACAAUGGGCGAAAGCCUGAUCCAGCCAUGCCGCGUGUGUGAAGAAGGUCUUCGGAUUGUAAAGCACUUUAAGUUGGGAGGAAGGGCAGUAAGUUAAUACCUUGCUGUUUUGACGUUACCAACAGAAUAAGCA